rnacentral:rRNA from 1 species
AUAAGCCUGGGAAACUGGGUCUAAUACCGGAUAGGAGCGUCUACCGCAUGGUGGGUGUUGGAAAGAUUUAUCGGUUUUGGAUGGACUCGCGGCCUAUCAGCUUGUUGGUGAGGUAAUGGCUCACCAAGGCGACGACGGGUAGCCGGCCUGAGAGGGUGACCGGCCACACUGGGACUGAGACACGGCCCAGACUCCUACGGGAGGCAGCAGUGGGGAAUAUUGCACAAUGGGCGCAAGCCUGAUGCAGCGACGCCGCGUGAGGGAUGACGGCCUUCGGGUUGUAAACCUCUUUCAGUAGGGAAGAAGCGAAAGUGACGGUACCUGCAGAAGAAGCACCGGCUAACUACGUGCCAGCAGCCGCGGUAAUACGUAGGGUGCGAGC